rnacentral:rRNA from 1 species
AUUGAACGCUGGCGGCAGGCCUAACACAUGAAAGUCGAGCGGAGCGGCGGACGGGUGAGUAAUGCCUAGGAAUCUGCCUGGUAGUGGGGGAUAACGUCCGGAAACGGGCGCUAAUACCGCAUACUAUCAGAUGAGCCUAGGUCGGAUUAGCUAGUUGGUGGGGUAAAGGCCUACCAAGGCGACGAUCCGUAAAUGGUCUGAGAGGAUGAUCAGUCAAAUCUGAAAUUAGACAAGGGCCCAGUUCCAUAGGGGGGGAGGAUGUGGGAAUAUUGGACAAUGGGCGAAAGCCUGAUCCAGCCAUGCCGCGUGUGUGAAGAAGGUCUUCGGAUUGUAAAGCACUUUAAGUUGGGAGGCGUUACCAACAGAAUAAGCACCGGCUAACUUCGUGCCAGCAGCCGCGGUAAUAC